rnacentral:rRNA from 1 species
UACGGAGGGUGCAAGCGUUAAUCGGAAUUACUGGGCGUAAAGCGUGCGUAGGUGGUUCGUUAAGUCCGUUGUGAAAGCCCCGAGCUCAACUUGGGAAUUGCAGUGGAUACUGGCGAGCUGGAGUGCGGUAGAGGAAGGUGGAAUUCCCGGUGUAGCGGUGAAAUGCGUAGAGAUCGGGAGGAACACCUGUGGCGAAAGCGGCUCACUGGACCACAACUGACGCUGAGGCGCGACAGCGUGGGGAGCAAACAGG